CAGUGGGGAAUAUUGCACAAUGGGCGCAAGCCUGAUGCAGCCAUGCCGCGUGUGUGAAGAAGGCCUUCGGGUUGUAAAGCACUUUCAGUCGUGAGGAAGGUGGUAGUGUUAAUAGCACUAUCAUUUGACGUUAGCGACAGAAGAAGCACCGGCUAACUCCGUGCCAGCAGCCGCGGUAAUACGGAGGGUGCGAGCGUUAAUCGGAAUUACUGGGCGUAAAGCGCAUGCAGGUGGUUUGUUAAGUCAGAUGUGAAAGCCCGGGGCUCAACCUCGGAACUGCAUUUGAAACUGGCAGACUAGAGUACUGUAGAGGGGGGUAGAAUUUCAGGUGUAGCGGUGAAAUGCGUAGAGAUCUGAAGGAAUACCGGUGGCGAAGGCGGCCCCCUGGACAGAUACUGACACUCAGAUGCGAAAGCGUGGGGAGCAAACAGGAUUAGAUACCCUGGUAGUCCACGCUGUAAACGAUGUCUACUUGGAGGUUGUGGCCUUGAGCCGUGGCUUUCGGAGCUAACGCGUUAAGUAGA
rnacentral:rRNA from 1 species